rnacentral:rRNA from 1 species
GUCUUGGGACACUGUCAGGUGGGCAGUUUGACUGGGGCGGUCGCCUCCCAAAAGGUAACGGAGGCGCUCAAAGGUUCUCUCAGUACGGUCGGAAAUCGUACGUAGAGUGUAAAGGCAAAAGAGAGCUUGAUUGCAAGACAUACAGGUCGAGCAAGGAUGAAAAUCGGACUUAGUGAUCCGGUGGUUCUGCGUGGAAGGGCCAUCGCUCAACGGAUAAAAGCUACCCUGGGGAUAACAGGCUUAUCUCCCCCAAGAGUCCACAUCGACGGGGAGGUUUGGCACCUCGAUGUCGGCUCAUCACA